CGGCGAGUGGCGAACGGGUGAGUAAUACAUCGGAACGUGCCCAAUCGUGGGGGAUAACGCAGCGAAAGCUGUGCUAAUACCGCAUACGAUCUACGGAUGAAAGCAGGGGAUCGCAAGACCUUGCGCGAAUGGAGCGGCCGAUGGCAGAUUAGGUAGUUGGUGAGGUAAAGGCUCACCAAGCCUUCGAUCUGUAGCUGGUCUGAGAGGACGACCAGCCACACUGGGACUGAGACACGGCCCAGACUCCUACGGGAGGCAGCAGUGGGGAAUUUUGGACAAUGGGCGAAAGCCUGAUCCAGCCAUGCCGCGUGCAGGAUGAAGGCCUUCGGGUUGUAAACUGCUUUUGUACGGAACGAAACGGCCUUUUCUAAUAAAGAGGGCUAAUGACGGUACCGUAAGAAUAAGCACCGGCUAACUACGUGCCAGCAGCCGCGGUAAUACGUAGGGUGCAAGCGUUAAUCGGAAUUACUGGGCGUAAAGCGUGCGCAGGCGGUUAUGUAAGACAGUUGUGAAAUCCCCGGGCUCAACCUGGGAACUGCAUCUGUGACUGCAUAGCUAGAGUACGGUAGAGGGGGAUGGAAUUCCGCGUGUAGCAAUGAAAUGCGUAGAUAUGCGGAGGAACACCGAUGGCGAAGGCAAUCCCCUGGACCUGUACUGACGCUCAUGCACGAAAGCGUGGGGGAGCAAACAGGAUUAGAUACCCUGGUAGUCCACGCCCUAAACGAUGUCAACUGGGUUGUUGGGUCUUCACUGACUCAAUAACGAAGCUAACGCGUGAAGUUGACCGCCUGGGGAGUAC
rnacentral:rRNA from 1 species